AACGUAGGAGACAAACGUUAUCCGGAGUUACUGGGCGUAAAGGGCGUGUAGGUGGUUUCGUAAGUCUGGCGUGAAAUUUUUCGGCUUAACCGGGAAAGGUCGUCGGAUACUGCGGAACUAGAGGACGGUAGAGGCGUGUGGAAUUCCGGGUGUAGUGGUGAAAUGCGUAGAUAUCGAGAGGAACACCUGCGGCGAAGGCGGGUUGCUGGGCUGACACUGACGCUGAGGCGCGAAAGCCAGGGGAGCGAACGGG
rnacentral:rRNA from 1 species